CCUGGCGGCCUUAGCGCGGUGGUCCCACCUGACCCCAUGCCGAACUCAGAAGUGAAACGUCGUAGCGCCGAUGGUAGUGUGGGGUCUCCCCAUGCGAGAGUAGGGAACAGCCAGGC
rnacentral:rRNA from 1 species